AGGUGGGGGUUUGAAGCAGAAGAUGUCUCAGGCAGGAAGUGUAUAGCAGGAUGGGGGAGAGCUGCCAGAAGAAGGAAGGCCCUGGGUCAGGAGAAAGGGGAGCAAGGAAGUCAAUGGCACCAGUGACAAGCUGGAUUUAUCCAUUGAUCCGCAGCCAAAUGGAGGCAAACUGAGUUCUACAUGCAUGAGAAUGGCAAGAAUGGUUAUUUUUAUGGCUGCCGCAACCCCAAAGUCAGGAUAUCUUUCUAAGGAUGGCACCAACGAAAGUGGAAAAGUCAUAUGGGAG